UUGUUACUGAUCUUUACAUGACAACCUCGGAAUUAACAUUGCCUUGCUAACAUUUCCAGUGCAUGUAUAACUUCUGACUAAACUAUGCUCUAUCGGGAAAAAGAAAGUCAUGUUUGCUAACUGUUUUCAAACUUGGCAGAUUUAUUCUGAGAGUACCAGUCAAGCAAAUCAGAUUCAAAAACAAAAGCAUCAUGUCAUAUUUAUAGUAUCAGAAAAAUGUUUUUAUGAAAAAUAAUUAAGGACUAUCUAUAAUUAGUUCCUGGAAUAGUUGUUUUUUUUUUCAUUGUUUAAUUUUUUUGUUCCUGUCAACAAACAUUUGUCAUAUUAGAUCAGGUCAUUUGAGUUUUGCAUCCUAUUUCGACAUUUCUUCUAGGACAUGUGAGCAUGGGCAAACACUUUUUAAUUAUCCUGAUCAAGUGUGGGGGACAUCUUUUUGCUGACCCCACUUGUAAUCAACUGUGAUCUUCUAGAAGCAGGCGAAUUGAUUGCUUUUAUCUUUCCCAACUAGUCAGAAGAGUGGGUCAUAUAUUAUUCUACCCUUUGGAAAAAUGCAACCCAGUGAUUGAUUUUAUGACUGCCGCUGGCAGCAAAUUCCUCAGAAUGAAUUCUACCAGGUGAAGAAGUAUUUCCUCUAACUUGCUUUAAAUUUCCUUAGCAUUAACUUCUCCGAGUGGCCCAGCCUCUUAUGGGACAAUGUAAUAAGGAUCUAUCAGUUUUACUGCCCAGCACCUAUCUUUAAUGCCUAAGUAAAUCUCUCUUACUUUCCAGCCCUGACUCUGUAAUUUGAACUUCUGAAAUCUCUUGUCAUGAGUGAACCCACCCGGCACUGAGUUUCUUGCCCUGCUCUGGCGCUCUGCCUUCCCUGAACUACAUGCCUGUAGGUGAGAAAGUGAGAAAUAGAGACAAUAUCGCAGAUGGCCAUGUAUGAUUCUCCUCCAUAAUGCUGUGGCACUGUGCUCGCUCAUAUCUAUCUUCUCUUCACACAAAAAAAGGAAAUUCAUGGAAGACAACAAAAAGUUGCUUUGAAAAAUUUUUAUCUAGUUCAUAUCCACAGACAGUGCAUUAUGCACCAUGGGAUUUUUUUUUUUAAGCCUAUAGAGAAUGAUCUAUAGGGGCUUUGACAUAUCUUUGCUCUAAUUUCUACAUCCCAUGGCUGGGGUGGGGGGGGGCGGCGUCAAGCUUUCUUUUUAUUUAAAACACUAGGCAUCUAUUUCUUUAAAUAAAUGGAGACCUCAAGCAUUAGUUACUAGUCAAAUCAAAUGAUAAUACAAUGUAUAACUACUCAAACUCCACAUUUUUCUCUAGAUUUUUGCCAGGAUACACGUCAUCUCCACCUGCACCCCCAAAUAAUAUUAUUUCUAGUGUCUUAGUUUUGUAAUGCCACUGUCAAGCUGGACUUACCUGAUGACAAGAAAACUUGUGUAAGACUUUCAAACCUUAAGUGAAAAAACUGUAUCGUAACAUAUUUUGUCAUUUAUUUACUGAGGUAUAUAUGAGAGAGACAAGAUGCUUUGUGCUUGUUGAGUAAAUUGGCUUUGAAAUUGUAUAUUUAAAUCGUGGAGGCAAGACCCAGAAGGGUCAAAAAAUAAAUAAAUAAACAUCAAAUUGGCAUACAUACUGAGGCAAGGAUGAUUUUAAUUUUGCUUUCCUUAAUGGCUGUUCUGUGAGGAGGAGAUGACAGAGGAAGAGGUAUGACAAGCCAGGAAUGCCUCUGCAGUGAUGCUCUUUUGCCCUUUCUCUCACAUUCUUCCUUCCCUUCCUUUCUCUCUCUCUCUCUCCUCCUAUCUUCUUUCUCUUUUAUUUCCAUCAAAGAUUAUUGAGCACCUAUCAUGUGUACACAUGGUCCUGGGUUCUGGGAUACAAUAGUCAAACAGAAAUAGUCUCUGAACUCAGAGCAGGAAAACUGCAGUCACGAAGCAAUUGCAUGAAGUGCCUGAGAAGUCCUCGUCCAGGAAUCGGGAGCAUGGGUAAAGAGCCACCGUCCACGAUGUGAAGACUUCCGGUGGGGAGCCGUUUUUAAACGGAUGCUCAAGGGAUGUGCAGAAGCGAGCUGGAAGGAAACAGAGUGUGGAAGAGAAAAGGUCAUCUGUGAAAGAGACGGAGCUUGUGGCAGACAGGCUGAGGGAAGUCCAGGCGGGCAGGAAGGCUGGGUUGCUGCAGGGCAGGGAGGGCCGAGGGGCAGGGCUCCAGGGAAGAGUUCACUCCUGAGGAAGGACACCAGGGCUCAGGGGGCCAGCUGCUGCUUUGGAAACAGAAGGAAAAACAGUACCUGGAAGCUAUUUGGGGAAAAGAAGGUGUUUUUUCCCCUAAAUCUCAUCAAGAUUAGUUUGAGUUCAAAUAAUUACAAUAAAGUCUUUUGAAGUAGCUUCAGAACUUAAGAAAAGAGGCCAUUAGAGAUUCAAGAAUAUACCAAACAUUUAUAUCCAUGAUCCCCCUCCCUAGAUAGGGACCACAGUAUGGGAUAUGGGCAGACUAGCUGGGUGUAAUGGCCUUUACUCUCUCUGGAAACUAGCAGAGGCUCACUUGGUGCAGAGAUUUUUUUUUUUUUUCUCUUUAAAGGCACUUGUUUCAGCAUCAGGCACAUAGAGCUGAGAGAUACCACAGAAAACACCUUUCCAGAUAUAAAAGUAUCCAUAACUGGGGUAGUUGACUCAAAACAACAAUGAUGACAACAACAGAGCAGUAACGACCUAGAUUGAGCACUCACUAUGCAUCAGAGACUGUGCCAUGCACUGUGAUUUUCUGUGAUCCUUACAGCAGCUGGAGGAGGACUGAUGGGCUAAACAGACUUAAUGCUUGGCUGUAGGCAUCCCUGUGGAAGACUCCAGCAGACCCACAUGUCCUACGGUUCAACUUUUCAAACCUACCUCUUUGUAAUUCCUAAGUAGGAGUCUGAACUCUGUUGUCAUAUUUCAGUUUUACAGUUUCUCUGAAAUAUUUUGAUCCAAAUAUGCCCUUAGAGUCAUGCUUUAUUAAUGCGAUAUGACUCAUAUUAGUGACUGCUUGUUCUUCAGCCAUAUGCCCUGAAAAAGUUAUCAGGUUUCAUUGUUUACCCUAAGUUAAAAAAAAAAUUCCAUGCUCUCCGACCUCGUGACACCUAAACCCUGCUCAUGCAGUUAAAACAGGAAAACUAGUUAUCUGAUAUCAUGAAGGCAAAUCAGGUUGUAGAAGCCCUCAAAUGUUUCCAUUUCCACUGGUGUGAGGGCAUUGUGGGAGCCAUGGAUUAUUCAUCAAGAAAGCACAGGAGAGAAUUUCUUUUUUGUUUGUUUGUUGAUUUCCAAAGUAAACCCAAGUAUGAAGAGA